UGUUUCAUUCAAAUUUCUGCCCUAUCAACUUUUCGAUGGUAGGAUAGAGGCCCUACAUGGUUUUAACGGGUAACGGGGAAUUAGGGUUCGAUUCCGGAGAGGGAGCCCUGAGAAACGGUACCACAUCCAAGGAAGGCAGCAGGCGCGCAAAUUACCCAAUCCCGAUACGGGGAGGUAGUGACAAUAAAUAACAAUACAGGGUUUUCAGUCUUGUAAUUGGAAUGAGUACAAUUUCAAAUCUCUUAACGAGGAACAAUUGGAGGGCAAGUCUGGUGCCAGCAGCCGGGGUAAUUCCAGCUCCAAUAGCGUAUAUUCAAAGUUGUUGCA
rnacentral:rRNA from 1 species